UACGGUGAGCCUGUCAUUAUUCAGAGAGGCUAGAUCCUCUGUGUUGAGAAGGAUCAUGAUGGGCUCCUCGGUGU
rnacentral:pre_miRNA from 7 species